GCCACGGGAGAUGUGGCUGUGGAUCAGUACCAUCAUUACAAAAUAUUGAUCUGCUGGUGAAGCUGAACUUUGAUGCCUACCGUUUCUCAAUCUCAUGGACCAGGAUAUUCCGAAAUGGAACUGGCAAGGUAAAUUGGAAAGGAGUUG